UUUGAAAUCUGGCCCUCGGGUCCGAGUUGUACUUUGCAGAGGAUGCUUCUGGCGAGGCGCUGCCCAAGUCCCCUGGAACGGGGCGCCGGAGAGGGUGAGAGCCCCGUACGGUCGGCGGCCGAGCCUGUGCGAAGCUCCUUCGACGAGUCGAGUAGUUUGGGAAUGCUGCUCUAAGCGGGAGGUAGACCCCUUCUAAAGCUAAAUACCGGCCAGAGACCGAUAGCGCACAAGUAGAGUGAUCGAAAGAUGAAAAGCACUUUGAAAAGAGGGUUAAACAGCACGUGAAAUUGUUGAAAGGGAAGCGCUUGCGACCAGACGUGCGCCGGGGUGCUCCGCGGGCGUUCUCGCCCGCGCACUCGCCCCGGCGCAGGCCAGCGUCGGUUCGGAUGGGGGGACAAAGGCGCCUGGAACGUGGCUCCCCCGGGAGUGUUAUAGCCAGGCGCGCCAUGCCCCCGCCCGGACCGAGGUUCGCGUUCUGCAAGGACGCUGGCGUAAUGGUCCCCAGCGGCCCGUCUUGAAACACGGACCAAGGAGUCGAGGUUUUGCGCGAGUGUCUGGGUGACAAACCCGCACGCGCAAUGAAAGUGAACGCUGGUGGGAGCUUCGGCGCACCACCGACCGAUCCUGAAGUUUACGGAUGGAUUUGAGUACGAGCGCAGGGCCUCGGACCCGAAAGAUGGUGAACUAUGCUUGGAUAGGGUGAAGCCAGAGGAAACUCUGGUGGAGGCUCGCAGCGGUUCUGACGUGCAAAUCGAUCGUCAAAUCUGAGCAUGGGGGCGAAAGACUAAUCGAACCGUCUAGUAGCUGGUUACUGCCGAAGUUCCCUCAGGAUAGCAGUGUUGAUCUCAGUUUUAUGAGGUAAAGCGAAUGAUUAGGGACUCGGGGGCGCUCUUCAGCCUUCUUCAUUCUCAACUUUAAUAUGUAA
rnacentral:rRNA from 1 species